rnacentral:rRNA from 1 species
UACGGAGGGUGCUAGCGUUGUCCGGAAUCAUUGGGCGUAAAGCGCGCGUAGGCGGCCCGGUAAGUCCGCUGUGAAAGUCCAGGGCUCAACCCUGGAAAGCCGGUGGAUACUGCCGGGCUAGAGUCCGGAAGAGGCGAGUGGAAUUCCUGGUGUAGCGGUGGAAUGCGCAGAUAUCAGGAGGAACACCAAUAGCGAAGGCAGCUCGCUGGGACGGUACUGACGCUGAGGUGCGAAAGCGUGGGGAGCAAACAGG